UUGCGCUUAUUCAUGACGGAACCGAACCUUUGCUGGCUCCAGCAAGGUCUGACACUGUCCAAAUUAGGACAGUUGAAUCACCAAUGAUGUUAACAAAUUUGACACGUGGCCCCUCCCCCAUAUGCGACACGCAAUUCAUUAAGUGCCAUGCAGUACUCCUGUCAAACAAGUGCUUUCCCGGUUUUAUUUAGAUUAAUGUGUAUAUUAAAACAUUUUCCGUCUUUUAAUAAUCUAUGUUGCAUUUCAUACCCCAAAAUCAGUAUGCAUAGACAGGAGCAAAGGCGAUUCUAUAAUGCAGUAUCAAUCUCCUCAUUAUACCUAGGUUACUUAUGCAAUGAAAUCAAGCGUUCAUUUGAAUGCUAAUAGUGGCAAUAUUCUUCGUUUUACCGAACUCACUCAGUGCAGGUAUGGGAGGCUGGAGAUGGGAAGGGGAGGCGUGUAGAUUGUUGACGGGAGGGGAAAGCAGUAUCAUGGAUUCGGUCACUCCAGCUGCAGAAGCCUUUUUCGCACAACUCCGUGUUGACUUUCAGAGCGCUGCGCUAUGCCCGGAAGAGGCUAUGUAGAAGGCCAUGCCGGAGGCUAACACUCACGACAGCAUUCUCAGUGGGUUAUCGGCAGUAAAUGCAGCUGUGCUGGUGUCGCGUGUUCCGUGGCUGCUUCACGUCCCUGGACCCUGGCCAGGAUGCGGAGGAAGAGCACCUAUUUUGUCGAGAGGAGGAAGUAUGCGCUGUGUGAUGGAACAUGCCCUCUCCUAACCAAAAGAACAUGCCUUGGUUUGGAGCCUGUGAGGGGGGCAGGCAGUCAUGCCGUCUUCUCGUCGGCUAACUGGAUUGGUGUGUCUAUAUAUCUUUUUUUUAUAUUAAUGUGCUUUUCACAGCUUCCCUAACC
ensembl:lncRNA